ACCACACUACAGACCUCAUCUCUCACAUAACUCUCUUUUCUUUUCAGUCGGUGUUUCAUGGUUAACGAUAGGAUUAGGCUUUCGCCGCAUGUGGCUAUGAGGAUGGUGUAUUGUGGUGGUGGUUCGAAAUGCCAUUAAACAUUCAGGCGAUGUUGGCGGCGAAUUGCUAGGGCUCCAAAGAAAGCAGUGAUGAGGAAAUAGGCGUAGGCAAUUUUGGUGUCGACCACCAUUCGUGCCAUCGGCGAUGGCGGAUGUCAGUGGGCGAGGAACGACAUAAAUGAUUAGCAGCUGUGGUGGUUUUCAUUAAAAACCCUACGCAGACCUCUUGAGAAAGAAAGGAAAAAGAAACGGAGGGGCAGAUCGGAGAAAUCGAGCUUUUCUACUCAGUCGGUUUGUGAUUGUCAUUAUAAAUCCUACGAACAACUCUCGAGAAAGUAAGGAAGAAGAGAUGGCAGAAAUUCGAGGUAAGCUUUUUCUCUCUUGGUUUGUGAUUCUUCAUUAACAUUGGUCGGAUAGAUCGAUUAAGGGUUCCACUGUUAUUUUUCGAAAUAUAGAAAGAGAAGUUUGAAUAUAGUAUUUUUCGAAAUGCAAAUGAAACAAAAUUAGAUCCCAAGACAAAAGAAUCACUCAUUUCGCAACACAAGGGCGGUUACUUUCCAUCGUAAACCAUCGGCCAAGAUAGCAAAACUUCCGGCCAAGAUAGCAAAACUUCUUAUUGAGGCGGAGAUUGACGAGUUUUUUCGCAGUAGUGGAAAAGAAAGAACAAAAGCAAUUCUUAGACAAGUAGCAUAAAUGACAUCAUGUGAAGUACAAUUAAUUAACUAAAGUUUAAACAGUUUUUUUUUUUACAAUAAUUAUGUUGUUGAUUUGGUUCAUGUACAACUUUGAUAUUGUGAAUGACGCACCAAUAGAUGGGAGGUACCAGUGGGUUGGAUUAAAGCCAUAACUGCCCGAUCAAACAGGUGAACAAUGAGUCACUUAUUAAGCUAAAUUGAACUCUAUAUAAUUACUGCACCAGUUUAGAAGGUUCGGCUGCAACAACUCCGUAUACAUCCCUACUCAUAUUGUCCAUCACAGUGUUAGUAACUUUUGUGGGGUAGGAAUAUGAAGUUUUUGACACACGAUAUCAUAUACAGAAAAUACACAAUAUCGUUUAUGGUGUAAUUAUUUGUACAAUUUGCGAAAAAAAAGAUCACUUAAUAUAUUUUAACACCAGAUGCAAUACCUGAAAAAUUUUCAAGCCCUUGCCGCAUCACGGCGGGAUACCUUUCUAGUUUUAUAACAAUUUACAAACUUACACAUCUUUAAUAGGUAUAAUCAAACAAAGAACUCAAGUUUUGCUAUAUUCUGGUAUCAAUAUAUGUAUCUUGUGAAAACCCAAACAAAAAUUGUUCAUAUAUCGCAACUAAAUUCUCACAAUUAAACCCAGCUACUUGCUAAUAAAAUUAAUAAUUAGUCAACAAGAUUCAACCUAAUAUGAAACCAUUCAUUAAUUGAAAGUACCUGGUUCGUCUAAACAAAAAUCCACAGUAAAUUCAACUAUAAGCCUUAAUCCAUAAGUGAUCUCAAAUCUACUGGUUAAAGUUUCUGUUGCUUGGGCAGACGCUCAUGGAACGUGAUCUCAUAUGUUGGACUCGGGGUGGCGGAAAAUCAUCUAUCGAGGUAGCGAAUCAUGUGCAGAAAGUGUUGGGUGGUGUUCUUGGAAAAAUAUUUUAAAAUUUUUUAUAUGUAUAUUAUAUCAAAAUACCAUAUAAAAAAUAUGGUAUAUCUGCAGAUAUAAAAACUAAAUAUUAUACAUGGCGAUACACUUGAAAAAAUAUUUUAAAAUAUUUUAUAUGUAUAUUAUAUCAAAAUACCAUGGUAUAUAUGGUAUUUUACAUGUAUAUUUAACAAAAACCUAAAAUCCAGCUACUUUAUAGCUAUAUUUAAUUGCUAUUUAUAUGAAAAAAGAAUAAAUAAAUUGUCUAAUAGCUAUCUAUUGCUACAACCCUAAUAGCGAGCCUAGACCUAUACGCUACGUAGCGCACUAUAGCAAUCGAUACACUCGCUAUUGAUAAGAAUGGAUUCAAGCAACCCAGUAAGCAAACUUAAUACUUCACUAGGGGUGCAAAAAUGGAUGGUCCCUAGGGGUGUUACCGGGUCAGGUAAGGUUUCAAACUCACAAUCCUUAAAUUUAUGUUUUAAAGUAUAAUCCUUUUUAAUAUGAUUGCUGGAGGUGAAAUGGAUGCCAGUGGGUCACUAAGCAAACCUAACAUUUCACUAGGGGUUUAACUAAAGAUGGUCCCUGGCGGUGUUAACGGGUCGGGUCGGGUAGGGUUUCAAACAAAAGAUCCUUAAAUCUAUGUUCUUAAAGCAUAAUCUUCUUUAACAAAUGCAUGCGUUAUACCAGAGCAUCAAAUAAAAACUCACCUUUACGCUCGACGACAGAAAUUCGCCGAGGUGUGCCGGGAAGAAUGGAAAAUCACUGUUGUAAUCCAAAUGCGGCGCCUUUGGAAGAUGCUUCGGAAGACAAAGGAGCUCUGAUCUAGUCUAAUUUGGGAAGGAGGAGGAUCUCAGCGAAGAUUAUUGUCGUUCGUGGCAGAGAGACUGAGAAGAUAAACCCUUCGUCUCAAA
rnacentral:lncRNA from 1 species